UACGAAGGGGGCUAGCGUUGCUCGGAAUCACUGGGCGUAAAGUGCACGUAGGCGGCUUUUUAAGUCAGGGGUGAAAUCCUGGAGCUCAACUCCAGAGCUGCCCUUGAUACUGAGGAGCUUGAGUCCGGGAGAGGUGAGUGGAACUGCGAGUGUAGAGGUGAAAUUCGUAGAUAUUCGCAAGAACACCAGUGGCGAAGGCGGCUCACUGGCCCGGUACUGACGCUGAGGUGCGAAAGCGUGGGGAGCAAACAGG
rnacentral:rRNA from 1 species